rnacentral:rRNA from 1 species
AACGUAGGAGGCAAGCGUUAUCCGGAUUUACUGGGCGUAAAGCGCAUGCAGGCGGUUCGGAAAGUUGGAUGUGAAAGCUCCCGGCUUAACUGGGAGAGGUCGUUCAAUACUUCCGGACUAGAGGAUGUGAGAGGAAAGUGGAAUUCCGAGUGUAGUGGUGAAAUGCGUAGAUAUUCGGAGGAACACCAGUGGCGAAAGCGACUUUCUGGCACAUAUCUGACGCUCAGAUGCGAAAGCUAGGGUAG